rnacentral:misc_RNA from 1 species
ACUGUGACAAAUGUGAUUUCUUUAUUGAUGUUCGAUGCUCUGUCAUUACGGAAAACCUUAAACAUCAUGGACAUGAUCACCUCCUCCGCUUAGUCAAAGGCCAAAGAAGCUACGGUUCUUAUUGUAGUGCUUGUUAUUGUGGUAAGUUCACCUAUUUUGACUGCACUAAAUGUGACUUCUCGUUGGACUUUAGAUGUGCUAGUUUGCCAAGUUCGGUUAGUCACAGAUUUGAUGAGAAUCAUCCUCUUACACUGGACUACAAUUUUGUUAGUGGCAAAGACAUAGAGCAUUACUGUGCGAUUUGCGAGUGGAUAAUAGACCCGGGUUCCCAUAUCUUUGAUUGUGUACCCUGGUUCUAUGGGUGCAGGGAAUGCGAUAUUUCAAUUCAUCCUGAAUGUGUUCUUGGAAGGUACCCAUACAUCAAGUUUGGGGGUGCUUACUUGUAUGACAUUCACCCACAUCCGCUUACUUUAGUCCAAAAACCUUUCGUGAAAGUUCAAAGGAAAAAGCACUACCCUCCAUGUGAUUAUUGUGCUGAGCCCUUUUCUGUUGGUGAAAACAUUGGUGACCCCUGCCAGGACUUGGCUCUUCAGUGCAGCCAGUGUCCUUUCGUCAUCCAUAGGAAAAGUCCUUGUUUUACCCAAAAUGUACAAGAGAAAACUGCUAAUGCAUGAUUAUUUCUUCCUUUGUAC